AGGAUGUUCCAGUGUGAAUACUAGUUCCUCCUGUCACUCUUGUAUUCAAAGCAGGAGGCAUACCUUAUCUGCUGAGCAACUGGCUGGUGUAAUUCUAAACUUUGGAGUGAAGUGGAAACAAUUUCUUAUCAUCUUGGCACCUGAAGUACUGAGAUUCUGAAGUCCCUGGGAAGAUGUAAAACUGGAACCUGUUUCAUCCUCAACAUUUAGUUUGGAGGCCACAACAUGCUUGUAUAUUCUCAGUAAUGAAUAAAUAACAAAACCAAAUGAACAGUUUGUCACACAGUAAAUCUUUUAAUAAUUUCAGGUAUAAAAUAGGUCAAAAGCUUUUAUUAAGACAGGUACAACAUCGUAAUGAAUAACUUAAGUUUUGAAACCCAACAGAUCCAUCUUAUAUGAACAGACUUCUUAUUCCACAGUGGUGCCAGUUUAGGUUUUGGACUAAACUCACAUUUAACCCAUUUUUAUUUAUUUAUUUAUUUAUUUAAUUCUUUAGAUACCUAACUUUAAAAAAAAGAAGAAGAAUUGAAGUGUUGUUGGAAAAGGUGGCAAAAGGACCAAAUCAAAUGAUCAACUACAAUCAAAUUCUGAAGCAAUCUUUCUGUAUCUUGAUGAAGUGACAAUUAAGGAGAAACUCUGAACAGUUUUGGCUAUUUGGUAAUAUUGGUUUGUAAAUGUGUAUCCUCAGUUAACCUUCAACCUACCUAAGACUCAGAAUAUUUGGAAAUCAAUUGUAAUGUAGAUUGUGUGAUGUAAUUUUUAAUGUUUUUUUCUCUUGGAUUUUUCCAUCCAGGGUUCCAGGUUAGUGUGGUUAGAGAGCAAGCUAACUGUGGGGAAGAGGACCGCCUGGGGCAUUUUGUCCCUGGCUCUCAAGUGACUAAGGAAGGGGCUUGGCAAACUGUUCUGCAGCAUGGAGAAGGAAGACCUCAAGAUUGUCAACAAGGGGGAAGAGGAGGAGAUGGAGCUGCAGGGCUACCGUCUGUGUCGUUGGCGGCUGGCCCUGGUGGGCCUCGGGGUGCUGUGUACAGGGGGCUUCCUUCUCCUGGUGCUCUACUGGAUGCCAGAAUGGUGCGUCAAGUCCACCUGCACUCGUACCACAGCCCGUGAUGCCCAAGUGGUGUUGCUGCGCUCCACGGUAGGUAGCAAGUAAAGCAGCAGUGAGUCAUUAUUAUUCAAAAAAGAGAAAAAUUAUUUACUUAGAAAAUAAGUUUUUCUAUUUUUUUCUCUCUUUCUUCGUAUUAAAUGGGUUUUUAAUAUUUGGUUGGAAAAAAUCUAAUCAAGAAAUUGUGAAAGGAAGUGGUGGAUUUUAGAGAUUGAACAUUUUAUCAACAAACUAAUCAAAACAUAUUAAAACAAUUUUGGCUUCUUUUUUAUUUAUUAUUUGGUGUUGCCAAUUCAUGAAACAAAUGGUAAAGACGUAAUUAGAAGUAACUAUUUUGAAGACUAGUAAAUAAUAAUAAUAAUAAUUAACAUUUAAUUUUAAUAUGUGCAAACACAGUUGUGGGCUUUUUCUUUGCUGUUUUUUUUUGUUGAUUUCUGUCUGUCUACAUUAUUAUUAGGGCCCGAGCACCGAAAGUGCGAAGGCCCUUUUGUAUCUGCUCCGUUUCUUCUUCUUAUUAUUAUUAUUCAGGCAAAACAAGGGCCUUUUUGAGGGCCUAAACAUGCUCAAAAACUCAUGAAAUUUUGCACACAUGCCAGGUCUGGUGAAAAAUUUUGUAUUUUAAUGGUUUUACAUAUGAGCACUGGGAAAUGGCUCUACAGCGCCACCUAUGCCUUGUUAAAUGCAGCCCUACGACCACAUCGUUUCAGCUACAUGUAUGAAAUUUGACACACCUGUGUACCAUGCCAAGACGAACAAAAAAUUCUGUGGGCACAUUGACGCAAACCCAACAGGAAGUCCGGCAUUUGGACGUGAAGGUGACAUUUUGGCUCCAAUUUUGCCAUUUCCAUGCCUCGAACUUUUUCGAACUCCUCCUUGGGAUUAGGUCGUAUAAGCUUCAUCUUUGGUCAGUGUCAACUACACACCUGGGCCAUGUUAAAUUGCGGAGCUUUUGAGUUUUCGUGAUAUGGUGAGGCCGUGGCGCCACGGCGAAUUUCGAUGACUCGCCAUGAAAAUCUUAUAGCCUCUCAUUCUGUCAUACAUUGUCCGAUCUGGACCAAAGAGCACACAUAUGAGCCUCCACCCCUGAACAUAUUUCAACUGUCACAUUUGACAUCAAGGACAGCGCCACCUAGUGGGAACAGGAAAUGUAUUCACUUCCGGCGCCCCCCGUGUGCGGCAGCCUGUUACAGCAGCUCUGCUCAUUCUGAGUUUCUUUCUUUCUUAUCUUUUUUCCCGUAAUUUUUUUUAUAACUAACGUAUUAGUAAUUAGACUCUGCAACCAUGUUCUACCGUUUUGUGCUAGUUCUGGUCGUUUCUCUCAGUUUAUUUCUACUUUUUUCACCCGUGUCUGGGGACCCAGAGCAGAGAUCCUUUGUUUACAGUAAGGAUCAGCUGUUAGCGCUGCGUCCUGCAGCGGUACUGCCGGCGGACA